UUGAGUUUCGGCAAGUGAGGUCAUAAAAAGUAGCAGGCUUGCCCAGAUCGCUGAUAGGCAGACUUGCCGGCCCACCCUGGAUGGAGGAGGCCCUGUGGACCUCCGGUGGGGCAGAGUACCGACCCAAAGACCCUCCGGCCCCGCAGCCUCCGGCUGUCCGCAGUUCCUCCAGUUAUUACCACUCAGCCAUCCUUUGCAUGCAUGCAACCAGUUUCUAUUUUUGUGUAGGGCAGAGCCUUUCAGGCAAAUGGAAGCGCCUUACCCCUGCCACAAGGUAGGACCACUCCAUGGAAACAAAUGAGCAUUUAUUUCAUCAAAGGCUUCCCGGAGACCAGGCAUCUUACCAAGCUCAGAGGACCCUUAGGAGCUCCUUGGAGGUGGUGGAGGAAGCUAGAUGAGGAGGGGGAGCUCAGUGCCCCGCUUCUGGUUGGAACAGAGCAGAAGUGUGUAUGUUUCAACAGACGAAUGGAUAAACAAAAUGCCGUCUCUCCAUACAAUGGAAUAUUCUUCAGACAUGAAAAGGAAUGAAGUACUGACAUGCUACAACGAGGAGGAACUCCAAAAGCCUCACCCGAAGUGAAAGAAGCCAGGCACAAAAGGGACAUGGAUGAAGCUGGAAGCCAUCAUCCUCAGCAAACUAACACAGGAACAGAAAACCAAACACCGCAUGUUCUCACUCAUAAGUGGCAGUUGAACAUUGAGAACACAUGGACACAGAGAGGGGAACAACAUACACCAGGGCCUGUUGGGGGAUGGGGGUGAGAAGCGGGAAGUUGGAGGAUGGGUCAAUAGAUGCAGCAAACCACCAUGGCACACAUAUACCUAUGUAACAAACCUGCACGUUCUGCACAUGUAUCCUGUUUUUUUUUUUAGAAGAAAUAAAUAAAUAAAACGAAUGAGGUCUACUUUUACAUUAAAAAAAAAAAAAGAAUUCCACUACCAGGUUAAAAAAAAUGUUUGGAGGGAUGAGAGACAAGACUGUUUGCCUCUUCCCCCUCAAAAAAACCACAGAAGAAUUUUUCUUUUUCUUUUUCUUUUCUUUGUCUUUUUUUUUUUUUUUUUUUUGAGACAGUUUCACUCUGUCACUCAGGCUGGAUGAAGUGCAGUGGCGCGAUCUCGGCUCACUGAAACCUCUGCCUCUAGGGUUCAAGCGAUUCUCCUGCCUCAGCCUCCCUAGUAGCUGGGACUACAGGCACCCACCACCACGCCAGACUAACUUUUGUAUUUUAAGCAGAGACCGGGUUUUGCCAUGUUGGCCAGGUUGGUCUCCAACUCCUAGGCUCAAGCGAUCCGCCUGCCUCAGCCUCCCAAAGUGCUGGGAUUACAGGCAUAAGCCACUAUGCCUGGCCACAGAAGAAUUUUUCUAAGAAGGAGAAUCUUAUUAGGCAAAAUGUCUUGAAUGAGCCAAUUGGGAAUGGCGGCAAGUCUUCAACAGGCGGCAAAACACAGGGAAAGCCCUGGCAAAGGAAGGAGAAGAACUAGGGGCUACUCCUGAGGACUGGCAGGGAGGGAGGGAGAGAAGAUGGCUCACCAAAACGGCGGCGGCACAGGGGACUUCGCAGGCGACGCAUGUGCAAUCUUCCAUCUGUGUGCGCUGCUGUGAUGUAAAAUCCAAAAAGCACCCUCCAGAAACCACUUUCCAGAAACCACCCUCCAGAAACUGUCAACUCUGCGGCCCACACGAAUGCCUGGGGUGAUUGGGGCUUCUGUGAGAGCGCGAAUGCUCUGAGCAGAGAGGAGAGGCUGCUCUGGUCAGCUCCGGCUGCUGUAACACCACCACAGAUUCGGUGGCUUCAGCAAGUUAUUGUCUCAUCUUCCUGGAGGCUGGACGUUCGAGAUCAAGGUUUUGGCCGGAAUAAUUUAGAUUGUUAGUGCUGGAAGAAACUUGAAGACCACCCUCUCCAAAGCCUCUUUUUACAGAUGAGGAAGCUGAGGCCUAGAGGUUGGAAAUGAUUUACCCAACAUCCCACAGUCUUCCAGUUCCAAGGCUGGAACCAGAACUGGCUUCACACAGGCUUGCCUUCUCUCAUCUCGACCAGGGCCCUACAGGCUCUGAAUUGCUUCUCCAGACCAGACCAGCAAGCUCAGAUCAGAACUGCGUUUUCUGCCAUGGCAUUGCUCCCCAGCCACAGAGGGCUCGGGCAGUCGGGUUCUGUGUCAGUGGAGGACAUGGUCCAAGUUGUGUUUGCUCAUCGAGGGGGAGCUCAGGUUCACCUGACCCAGCAGCUCCCGUGGCUGCUUGACAAACCCAGCGACCUAAGCCCAUUGCUAUUCACAGAUAGCCCAGCCCUCAUCCUAGGGCCAUCAGGAGACCUCAGCUUCUUUCUCCAGUGACUGAAUUCAGUGCUCUAACUCCCUACCUUGCACAGCUGAGCAUGGAGCUACUAAUAGCUCUGUUAUCAUGUUCCCGUUUUAAUACAAACAAACAGCCGUAGCCCAGGAAAGAGAUUUGUUAGAGAGGUUGCUUGCCUUCUGCUCUGGCAGGAGACCUUCACAGCACCAAGCACCUGGCUGCUCUGUGGGGUUUGAGUGAAAUGAUGACUCUUCCUUCACACUCUCCCCUUAGCCUGCUGUUUUCUUCCUUUCCUCCACCUUGGAGGCCACCUAGAAAUUUUGAUGUAGAAAAUUCCAAUCUUGUAGAAUAUCAGGGCUGGGAAAACCUCAGAGAGUCCCUGCUCUCAUGACCCAGUGAUCAGACACAGGACUGACAUAUCCAGCCCUCUGCUCGUGAGAGGCUGGGCCGGUUAUUAGUUACUGCUUGUCAUCUCCAAAUCCCCCACAUUCAGAUGUUGGGGGACUCUGCAAGCCCCAUUUCUGCUUUGCCAACUGCUCUUCAAGAAGCUCUGCCAGGAGGGGCCAGAGGCCAGACACACUCCUUCCGGUCUGUUUCUUGUUUCUAUGAGCAGCACCGUGGCCCACUGCUUCACCCAGGCAGUAGCAGUUCCCUCCCUCAGCAGUGAAAGAACCGAGUUUGCAGUUUUACUGAUUCCUGCAGCACCCCCACAUGGUGCUCCCUCAAGGAUGCCAGCUCCAGCCACCUGGAGCCCCCUCCAUGGAGCUCUGAGGUUCACUUCUGUGGGGCUCCUCCUCUAAUCUUCCAAAUUUUAAUAAUUUCAACUUCUACUCUUUGCUCCCCCAGGCUUAAGGGUGGUAGCUGCUUUCUGAAGUUGCUACCUUCCAUUACACCUGAGAGUUUGCUUUUUGCCUUUCUACUUACAUAGAUAACAAUUCUUCAUAUAUUGAAUUCUAUUAAAAUAACUGGGAGGUUUGGCUGGGAGUGGUGGCUCAUGCUUGUAAUCCUAGCACUUUGGGAGGCCAAGGCAGGCCGAUCACCUGAGGUCAAGAGUUCGAGAUCAGCCUGGCCAACAUGGCGAAACCCCAUCUUUUUUUUUUUUUUUUUUUUUGAGACGGAGUCUUGCUCUGGCACCAGGCUGGAGUGCAGUGGCGUGAUCUCGGCUCACUGCAACCCCCGCCUCCUGGGUUCAAGCGAUUCUCCAGCCUCAGCCUCCUGAGUAGCUGGGAUUACAGGCAUGUGCCACCACACCCAGCUAAUUUUUGUAUUUUUAGUAGAGAUGGGGUUUCACCAUGUUUGCCAGGAUUGUCUCAAUCUCCUGACCUCAUGAUCCACCCGCCUUGGCCUCCCAAAGUGCUGGGAUUACAGGCAUGAGCUACCGUGUCCGGCCAGGGUGAAGCCCCAUCUUUACUAAAAAUACAAAAAUUAGCCAGGCAUGGUGGCGGGUGCCUGUAGUUCCAGAAACUUGGGAGGCGGAAGCGGGAGAAUCAUUUGAACCUGGGAGGUGGAGGUUGCAGGGAGCCAAGAUCUUGCUACUGCACUCCAGCCUAGGUGACAAAGUGAGACUCCAUCUCAAAACAAAAACAAACCAGCAAACAAAAACAAAAAACUGGAAGGUUUUCAUCAACUCUGACUGAUAUGCUGGCAGAGCUGAGAUCCAAACCUAGGUCUUCUUUCUCCUGGUUCAGGACUCUUUGCACUGGAAUCCAAUAAAUAUUUGUUCAAUUAAAGGAAUAGUAAAGUGAGUUCACUCCAUUCAUUGGUUCCAACGUUAAUAAGAUGUUGUUUCAGAUUCCCAUCACCACCACCACCAACAACAAAUUAUCACCUAAUUGCAGCCUAGACUUCCUGCCAUCCAAGUGUCAAGCUCUAUCACAGGCUAUUAGAAUUGAGAGGGACUAUGGCCAGGCACGGCCGCUCAUACCUGUAAUCCCAGCACUUUGGGAGGCCGA
rnacentral:lncRNA from 1 species